CGGGGACAGCCCGGCCACAGCCCCUGCUCUGCCUCCCGGGUGGGGGGGACAAGGGACCGGCACCCACCACCGUUUUGAAAUUAGAUCUUGGCGAAAUCACCAGCAAGUCCACCCAGGACGCCCAAGGCCGUUUGAGCGACACCUUCGGCGCCACAGACGUGGAAGGAGAUACGUUUCGUGUCCACAGAAGAUCGAGCGUGGACCUGGCCCAGGUUUGGGCGACGGCCAGCGGCGAGCCCCUGGUGGCCAAGGAACCGCCUGCGCGACGGAGACACGGCCGGCUCUGCAGAUUUAUUGGGCAAUACGAUACGUAGCCCUAAUGGGCUCUUGACUUUUGGCUGGAACCCUGUCUGAGCCCACAAGUCACCCGUGGAGAGAACACAGCGGCCUGCCCGCCGCACCAGGUAAGGCUCUCGCCGGCCCCAACUCCUUCCAAUUAUUCUUCCUUAAAGAGAAAUCCUUAUGCAGGAGACUGUGCCGGAGUGAACCAAAAUCCAUGGAGCGAGUUAUCGGAACUCAGUAUCGAAAACCUGUGUAAACUUUCAUCUUCUCCAGCUCUGGUUUUCGAAUUAAGACGAAAGCCAUAAGGAAGAAGCUUUUAGUAAAAAUGCAGCCGUGUUCUUAAAGUUGCCAGCUCCUGCUAAUCUCAUUAAUUUUAAAAUUUCUCUGUAGAAUAGAAACCCGGAAGGUUGUGACUACUUCUGUAUCGGAAGUUCUUUUUUUACACCCUCCCUCCCCCCCCAGGUUGUCCUUUGUGAUGCAUUUUUUUUAUUUACUGUUUUUUCUUCCUUCGAACAUUCCUUUUAUUACAAAGCCGGUGUUUCCGCCGAGCUCACGGGAAACACACUUGUAUUAUAUACAUUGUUUCGCGCAGGCUGAUUGAAAGAGCAGAUGCCUGCACAGCUUCCGCGGCCAGGAGGACGUCCGCAGCGUCUUCCAGGAAUCGCGAGGCAUGCGGAUGCCAUCAGCAGCGGGAGAUGACGUCGAGAAGCUUGCGAGGCUCGGGGUCGCCGGCCGACUUUUGAACGCAGCCCGGAAAAUGUGAGGGGCGUUAUCGCUGCUCUAAAACCGGGACUGCGGCCCUCGGCCUACGGCCCGUAAGGGACGCGCUCUGGCUCUGGGUGCGCCUGGCCUGUAGCCGGGGCCCCGAUGAUCCCGGUGUCACCUCCCGAACGAGCGCCUGUGUAGCCGGCUGUGCACCUGUGUCACCCGGCUGUGCACCUGUGUCACCCGUAAGGCGCGGGGCCAGCACCGGAGCGCGUCGUGGGGUUCUGCGUCCUGAGUGGAGGAGGGAACCCUCCGGGAAAGUGGAAACGGACGUCAGAAGGGGGUCAAGCUGGCGCCUCGUUCGUUUCGAGGUUCAGAGAGAGUGUUGUUUCCUUCCAGGGUGCAGUGGGAUCUUUUCCACGAUUCGUUUCCUCGAACAGAAAAUGAUACGGGGUAAGCCGCGGACCUCUCCACGGCGGUGCGCUGCCCCUCAAAUGCUCGAACUAACCGGGGCGGAGAAUGAACGGAGUCUCGUGCCCGCAUCAGUGCCCACAGCUCGAUGUGGGCCAAGGCAUCGGCUGGGGACGGGCGGGUGAUGCUCUGUUUCCCGCGCUUGCCCUCCGGAAGGCCCGGCGGAGCGU